UACGAAGGGGGGCUAGCGUUGUUCGGAAUUACUGGGCGUAAAGCGCGUGUAGGCGGGUCUUUAAGUCAGGGGUGAAAUGCCAGGGCUCAACCUUGGAACUGCCUUUGAUACUGGAGACCUUGAGUCCGGGAGAGGUGAGUGGAAUUGCGAGUGUAGAGGUGAAAUUCGUAGAUAUUCGCAGGAACACCCAGUGGCGAAGGCGGCUCACUGGUCCGAUACUGACGCUGAGGUGCGAAAGCGUGGGGAGCAAACAGG
rnacentral:rRNA from 1 species